GAUGAACGCUGGCGGCGUGCCUAAUACAUGCAAGUCGAGCGAACGGACGAGAAGCUUGCUUCUCUGAUGUUAGCGGCGGACGGGUGAGUAACACGUGGGUAACCUACCUAUAAGACUGGGAUAACUUCGGGAAACCGGAGCUAAUACCGGAUAAUAUUUUGGACCGCAUGGUUCAAAAGUGAAAGACGGUCUUGCUGUCACUUAUAGAUGGAUCCGCGCUGCAUUGGCUAGUUGGUAAGGUAACGGCUUACCAAGGCAACGAUGCAUAGCCGACCUGAGAGGGUGAUCGGCCACACUGGAACUGAGACACGGUCCAGACUCCUACGGGAGGCAGCAGUAGGGAAUCUUCCGCAAUGGGCGAAAGCCUGACGGAGCAACGCCGCGUGAGUGAUGAAGGUCUUCGGAUCGUAAAACUCUGUUAUUAGGGAAGAACAUAUGUGUAAGUAACUGUGCACAUCUUGACGGUACCUAAUCAGAAAGCCACGGCUAACUACGUG
rnacentral:rRNA from 1 species